GGAAGUUUCCUUUUGAACUUGAGUUCUGGGGGAGAAGUCCUUCAUCAAGCUAUAUGAAUUGCACUCUAGAAAUCAAUCCAGAUGUGACAAGCCUACAGGAGUACUGCAAGAAAGGUGGACCUACCUAAUGUUCCUUGACACGCUGUGCUCCUAACCAACUAUAAACAAGCAAAUGGUGAAACUCUGCUAGCCACGGAACAGCCAACAUAAAAAUGUUCAGUAAAAUUGUUCAGAAGUAAAAGAGUCCCUGAGUGCACUGUCCAAGCCAUUGUGCUUCACUCCAUGUAGCCAAGAUGGGUCAUUGAUCUUCUGGCUUCCCCAGCAAUGUUGACAGAGUAAGCAGAUCCAGUCUUUGCUUCCCAGAGGCACAGUGCUGCCGAAGACAGAUGGCAAGGAUGUGGAUACUCUCUGAAGACUCUCCCAGUGGGUUUGGUUAGAUGUUGUCAAUAAAUCCAAAACUGCC
rnacentral:lncRNA from 7 species